rnacentral:rRNA from 1 species
UAGGGAAUCUUCCACAAUGGACGCAAGUCUGAUGGAGCAACGCCGCGUGAGUGAAGAAGGUUUUCGGAUCGUAAAGCUCUGUUGUAAGAGAAGAACGUGUGUGAGAGUGGAAAGUUCACACAGUGACGGUAACUUACCAGAAAGGGACGGCUAACUACGUGUCCAG